UACGUAGGGAGGCAAGCGUUGUUCGGAUUUUACUGGGCGUAAAGGGCGCGAUGAGGGCGGCGAGAUCAAGUCAGUUGUGAAAUCUCUGAGCUUAACUCAGAACUGUCAACUGAUACUGCUCUGCUAGAGUGCGGAAGGGGCAAUCGGAAUUCUUGGUGUAGCGGUGAAAUGCGUAGAUAUCAAGAGGAACACCUGAGGUGAAGACGGGUUGCUGGGCCGACACUGACGCUGAGUGCGCGAAAGCCAGGGGAGCAAACGGG
rnacentral:rRNA from 1 species